GCUCUUGAGUUGUUAGGUCUCCUUCGGA
rnacentral:sRNA from 1 species